rnacentral:rRNA from 1 species
GGACUACCAGGGUUUCUAAUCCUGUUUGCUCCCCUAGCUUUCGCGCCUCAGCGUCAGGUUUAGCACAGAAAACCGUCUUCACCACCGGUGUUCUUCCACAUAUCUACGCAUUUCACCGCUACAUGUGGAAUUCCGUUUUCCCUUACUAACCUCAUAGCAAAAAAGUUUCAAAUGCAGCUCCGGGGUUGAGCCCCGGAAUUUCACAUCUGACUUUUCUUGCCGCCUACGCGCCCUUUACACCCAGUAAUUCCGAUCAAUGCUUGCACCCUCCGUAUUACCGCGGCUGCUGGCAC